CAGAGUAGAAGCCCGCGCGUAAAGUGUCUGCCGAACGGGGAGUUGUCGGCGGAACGAAGGCCUGAAAACAGGCUGCGGUGCGAGUUUCGCAUCCCACUGU
rnacentral:ncRNA from 1 species